UGGGGAAUAUUGCACAAUGGGCGAAAGCCUGAUGCAGCGACGCCGCGUGAGGGAUGACGGCCUUCGGGUUGUAGACCUCUUUCAGCAGGGAAGAAGCGAGAGUGACGGUACCUGCAGAAGAAGCGCCGGCUAACUACGUGCCAGCAGCCGCGGUAAUACGUAGGGCGCAAGCGUUGUCCGGAAUUAUUGGGGCGUAAAGAGCUCGUAGGCGGCUUGUCACGUCGGGUGUGAAAGCCCGGGGCUUAACCCCGGGUCUGCAUUCGAUACGGGCUAGCUAGAGUGUGGUAGGGGAGAUCGGAAUUCCUGGUGUAGCGGUGAAAUGCGCAGAUAUCAGGAGGAACACCGGUGGCGAAGGCGGAUCUCUGGGCCAUUACUGACGCUGAGGAGCGAAAGCGUGGGGAGCGAACAGGAUUAGAUACCCUGGUAGUCCACGCCGUAAACGGUGGGAACUAGGUGUUGGCGACAUUCCACGUCGUCGGUGCCGC
rnacentral:rRNA from 1 species